AUCCUGCUGAAGAGUCCCGAAUAGGACGAAACGCGCGUCCUGGAU
rnacentral:hammerhead_ribozyme from 1 species